rnacentral:misc_RNA from 1 species
GUAGGUGAACCUGCGGAAGGAUCAUUAACACGUGAUACUCACGUAUUAACCAAACGAGAAAUGUUUUAAGCCUGUUUUUGGAUAUGAACUGACUGUUUGGGAAUGGUAUGACUACGGUGCUUCGCGCAUAGGGUCUAACUUACAGUCUGUAGCGUACUUGAUGCGCGGCUCAUUCCACUAAUAGUAGAUGAAUUUCGGCUGCUUAUUAAUGCCUGUACCUUGGCUUGCAGUCGGAGUGACAACCUUUACUUACCCCUUAUUUAUAUUUAUUCUGAUUUGUACGUUUAUAUCAAUUCCUGGCCUAACCGUCAGUCGAGUUUGUAUAGAUGUCGUAUAUUACUAAUACGAAACAACUCUUAGCAACGGAUAUCUUGGUUCUC